GUUCAGCUAUAUGAUUGACGCUGGAAUCCUGACACUAUUCGGAAUCUCUGUGCCGGAACACCGACUGCCAGCAUACAUACCAAAGGUUGUAUAGUGUUGAAAAAAUCCACAACUGGUCGGCCUACAGUCAGUGCCACUACAUCUGAUGAUGAUGACGCUGCGGCAGCAGGUCCCUCAAUACAAGGCUUGACCAGCAGAAGACAGCCUCCUGAACCCCUCAAAAAGCGGCCAUAUGUGGCACCCAAGAAGCCAAGGUCAGAUGUCCUGUCCAAACCACACCAGUCUACACCGCCACAAAGAAUGUCAGUAGUUUCUUCCGUACCACCACGCCAAAUUUUGGUCACUCCACCAAGACGCCAAUCACACGCCCUCAUCUGGAUGAAACAAGUAACGCUACCAGCAUCCCUCCGACACACCAACAAUACAGUGACAUGGAUGAGACAAUCAUUUUACAACUUCAGCCAAUAAUUGAAGGAAACAAACCCCCAGC